UACAGAGGUCCCAAGCGUUGUUCGGAUUCAUUGGGCGUAAAGGGUGCGUAGGUGGCUUCGUAAGUCGGGUGUGAAAUCUCGGGGCUUAACUCCGAAACUGCAUUCGAUACUGCCGUGCUUGAGGACUGGAGAGGAGACUGGAAUUUACGGUGUAGCGGUGAAAUGCGUAGAUAUCGUAAGGAAGACCAGUGGCGAAGGCGGGUCUCUGGACAGUUCCUGACGCUGAGGCGCGAAAGCUAGGGGAGCAAACGGG
rnacentral:rRNA from 1 species